rnacentral:rRNA from 1 species
CCUACGGGUGGCAGCAGUGGGGAAUAUUGGACAAUGGGGGGAACCCUGAUCCAGCGACGCCGCGUGAGGGAUGAAGGUCUUCGGAUCGUAAACCUCUGUCAGCAGGGAAGAACGGUCACUGUGCUAAUCAGCAGUGAAUUGACGGUACCUGCAAAGGAAGCACCGGCUAACUCCGUGCCAGCAGCCGCGGUAAUACGGAGGGUGCGAGCGUUAAUCGGAAUUACUGGGCGUAAAGCGCUCGUAGGCGGUAUGUCAAGUCAAGGGGGAAAUCCCCGCGCUCAACGUGGGAACUGCCUUUGAAACUGGCAAACUGGAGUGUGUGAGAGGAUAGUGGAAUUCCAGGUGUAGGAGUGAAAUCCGUAGAUAUCUGGAGGAACAUCAGUGGCGAAGGCGACUAUCUGGCACAUAACUGACGCUGAGGAGCGAAAGCGUGGGUAGCAAACAGGAUUAGAUACCCUUGUAGUC